GACAGAGGGUGCGAACGUUGUUCGGAAUUACUGGGCGUAAAGCGCGUGUAGGCUGUUCGGAAAGUCGGGUGUGAAAGCCCUGGGCUCAACCUAGGAAGUGCACUCGAAACUCCCGAACUGGAGUCCCGGAGAGGAAGGCGGAAUUCACGGUGUAGCAGUGAAAUGCGUAGAUAUCGUGAGGAACACCAGAGGCGAAGGCGGUUACCUGGACAGUUACUGACGCUCAGGCACGAAAGCAUGGGGAGCAAAAGGG
rnacentral:rRNA from 1 species